GUGGGGAAUAUUGCACAAUGGGCGCAAGCCUGAUGCAGCGACGCCGCGUGAGGGAUGACGGCCUUCGGGUUGUAAACCUCUGUUAGCAGGGAAGAAGAGAGAUUGACGGUACCUGCAGAGAAAGCGCCGGCUAACUACGUGCCAGCAGCCGCGGUAAUACGUAGGGCGCGAGCGUUGUCCGGAAUUAUUGGGCGUAAAGAGCUUGUAGGCGGUUUGUCGCGUCUGCUGUGAAAGGCCGGGGCUUAACUCCGUGUAUUGCAGUGGGUACGGGCAGACUAGAGUGCAGUAGGGGAGACUGGAAUUCCUGGUGUAGCGGUGGAAUGCGCAGAUAUCAGGAGGAACACCGAUGGCGAAGGCAGGUCUCUGGGCUGUAACUGACGCUGAGAAGCGAAAGCAUGGGGAGCGAACAGGAUUAGAAACCCCUGUAGUCC
rnacentral:rRNA from 1 species